UACGUAGGGGGCAAGCGUUGUCCGGAAUUAUUGGGCGUAAAGAGCUCGUAGGCGGUGUGUCACGUCGGCCGUGAAAACCUGCAGCUUAACUGUGGGCUUGCGGUCGAUACGGGCAUCACUGGAGUUCGGCAGGGGAGACUGGAAUUCCUGGUGUAGCGGUGAAAUGCGCAGAUAUCAGGAGGAACACCGGUGGCGAAGGCGGGUCUCUGGGCCGAUACUGACGCUGAGGAGCGAAAGCGUGGGGAGCGAACAGG
rnacentral:rRNA from 1 species